AUGUGUUGGUUGUUCAUUGGUUUAGUUUUCCUUUCAAGUCAAGCACCCAUGUCAUGUACAACCUCUUCUAGGAAUGACCCAGGCAAAGACAAUUAUUCCAAAAACAUCAGUGUAUAUUUGUGUAUGCUUAUGUGUGCAGUAUGCUUAUUUGUGUAUCGCCGUCGCACCAAAGCGACUUGUAUUCUUUUGAACAAUGAGAACAGAAAAAAGGGGGCAAUAACAGAAGAAACCAGAAUAGAAAGGGUGAACUGCCAUCACAAACUUCUCCAUCAGGGCAUCAACCGGCCUAAUCUCUUCGCUGCCGUCUGCUAUGUAUUCUGCUGUGCCUUCCCAUAG
rnacentral:rRNA from 1 species